rnacentral:lncRNA from 1 species
AAUAAAUUACAUAUAACCCUUAUUCCGAUGUUAGUGGUGAAUUUCUUGCCCUAGGUUCUUCCAAACUGAUAUCAUUUUAAUUGCAUUUCUCGUAAAUUAUUUAGUUCAAUAGUCUUCCCAAACUUUUUUUUAAAAUAUUUUUUAUGAAAACAACUGUACCCCAAUCCCUGUGGAUCGAUAUCCGUAAUCACUAUCCUACCAGAUACGUGCUAUUGCGUGGUCUUUAAAAUUGACUAUCAAUUUUUGGUGCCGUUGCCGGGGAUUGUUAGUAUAGUUAUUUUUCUUUUCAUAUAUAUAUAAAAAACUCUUUAAAAAAAAUAUAUACAUGUAUAUCUACAAUAAAAUAAAAAUAUUUUCUAUUUUGGUUACUUUACUUAUCCUCUUUUUCUCUCUUACUAAUUUUUGAUUUUUCUGUUGGUAUUAUUCGAUCAGGAAUCAAGGAGAAAAUUUGGGACGAUCAAAAAGGAAACUGCGGGAAAAGGAAUGCUGUAGAGGUUUGCUUUAAAAAAAAAUUUGCUGGAAAAAUUCUCUUUGGU